rnacentral:rRNA from 1 species
CAGGAUUAGAUCCCCUGGUAGUCCACGCCGUAAACGAGGAGUGUUAAGUGUUGGAGGGUUUCCGCCCUUCAGUGCUGCAGUUAACGCAUUAAGCAUUCCGCCUGGGGAGUACGACCGCAAGGUUGAAAUUCAAAGGAAUUGACGGGGGCCCGCCCAAGCGGGGGAGCAUGGGGUUUAAUUGGAAGCAACGGGAAGACCCUUACCAGGUCUGGACUUCCUUUGACCAUUCUAGAGAUAGAGCUUCCCCUUCGGGGGCAAAGUGCCAGGUGGUGCAUGGUUUUCGUCAGUUCGUGUCGGGAGAUGUUGGGUUAAGUCCCGCAACGAGCGCAACCCUUAUUGUUAGUUGCCAUCAUUCAGUUGGCCAUUUUAGCAAGACUGCCGGUGCCAAACCGGAGGAAGGUGGGGAGGACGUCAAAUCUUCAUGCCCCUUAUGACCUGGGUUCCACACGUGUUCCAAUGGGAAGUACAACGAGUUGGGAAGUCGGGAGGUUAAGUUAUUUUCUUAAAGUUUUUUUCAGUUCGGAUUCCAGGCUGCAAUUCGCCUGCAGGAAGCCGGAAUCGUUAGUAAUCGGGGAUCACCACGCCGCGGGGAAUACGUUCCCGGCCCUUGUACACACCGCCCGUCACACCAGGAGAGUUUUACCACCGGAAGUCGGUGAGGUAACCUUUU